CUUCAAGGAUAUAAGAAAAACAAUUUGAAGCUAAAGUCUGGCAGGUUGGACAUCACACGGUAUAUCAGUACAGAUGCAGCAAUGGAGGAACAUCAUGAACAUCCUAAAUUAGCACAGCCGGUGUCCUCGGCUGGAUUCGAAAGCGGCAUCUCGAGAAUACAAGACGGACAUGUACAACUUGAGCGAAAGAUCUGUUAUUUUAGAUGGCCAAAGGCGAAGCGAGAGAGUUGUGGAUGGCGGUCCGGUCUCGU